CCUACGGGGGGCAGCAGUGAGGAAUAUUGGUCAAUGGUCGAGAGUCUGAACCAGCCAAGUAGCGUGAAGGAUGACUGCCCUAUGGGUUGUAAACUUCUUUUAUAUGGGAAUAAAACGUUCCACGUGUGGGAUUUUGUAUGUACCAUAUGAAUAAGGAUCGGCUAACUCCGUGCCAGCAGCCGCGGUAAUACGGAGGAUCCGAGCGUUAUCCGGAUUUAUUGGGUUUAAAGGGAGCGUAGGUGGAUUGUUAAGUCAGUUGUGAAAGUUUGCGGCUCAACCGUAAAAUUGCAGUUGAAACUGGCAGUCUUGAGUACAGUAGAGGUGGGCGGAAUUCGUGGUGUAGCGGUGAAAUGCUUAGAUAUCACGAAGAACUCCGAUUGCGAAGGCAGUUCACUGGACUGCAACUGACACUGAGGCUCGAAAGUGUGGGUAUCAAACAGGAUUAGAUACCCCUGUAGUC
rnacentral:rRNA from 1 species